GGAUUGUGGCUCAGCGGUAGAGCGCUCCGCUAGCAUGGGUGGGACCCGAGUUUGAUUCUCAGCACCA
rnacentral:tRNA from 1 species